AGCAGUAUUGAACUGAAGAGUUUGAUCAUGGCUCAGAUUGAACGCUGGCGGCAGGCCUAACACAUGCAAGUCGAGCGGAUGAAGGGAGCUUGCUCCUGGAUUCAGCGGCGGACGGGUGAGUAAUGCCUAGGAAUCUGCCUGGUAGUGGGGGAUAACGUCCGGAAACGGGCGCUAAUACCGCAUACGUCCUGAGGGAGAAAGUGGGG
rnacentral:rRNA from 1 species